rnacentral:rRNA from 1 species
CUGAAGGGUAUGCUCGUUUGAGUGUCAUUGUACUCUCAUACUCUCUGAUCCUUUUGGAUUUGGGAGCGAUGGACUUGGGUGUUGCUGCUUUACCGUGGCUCACCUGGAAUGCAUUAGUGCAUCUCUUGGUUGGGCAUAGUACGGCGUGAUAAAGUGUCUUCGCCGGCACCUCGCAAGAGGGUGGCUGACCAGGAGCUCUGUGCUUCCUAAUGGUCUUCGGACAAUCUCUGACGGCUUGACCUCAAAUCGAGUAGGACUACCCGCUGAACUUAAGCAUAUCAAUAAGCGGAGGAAAAGAAACUAACAAGGAUUCCCCUAGUAACGGCGAGUGAAGAGGGAAGAGCUCAAAUUUUGAAUCUGGCGUCUUUGGCGUCCGAGUUGUAAUCUAGAGAAGUGUUUUCCGUGACGGACCGUGCAUAAGUCUCCUGGAAUGGAGCGUCAUAGAGGGUGAGAAUCCCGUAUAUGGCAUGGACUACUGUUGCUCUGUGAUACACUCUCGACGAGUCGAGUUGUUUGGGAAUGCAGCUCCAAAUGGGUGGUAAAUGCCAUCUAAAGCUAAAUAUUGGCGAGAGACCGAUAGCGCACAAGUACCGUGAGGGAAAGAUGAAAAGCACUUGGAAAGAGA